GCGAUGCUGCCCGGUUGGUGAAGGAACCAUUUUUCCCAGGGCCUAUAAUCGAUUUCUUAGGGAGCUGUCCCUGAGCCGGACCGUGGUCUGGUUCACACGGCGCCCACCUACGUGAGUAGGGACCAGGGAUCGUCAGUUCCCACGGCUUAUGGUGGCUCGCC
rnacentral:other from 1 species